rnacentral:rRNA from 1 species
UACGAAGGGGGCUAGCGUUGUUCGGAAUUACUGGGCGUAAAGCGCACGUAGGCGGAUCCUUAAGUCGGGGGUGAAAUCCCGAGGCUCAACCUCGGAACUGCCUUUGAUACUGGGGAUAUCGAGUCCGGGAGAGGUGAGUGGAACUGCGAGUGUAGAGGUGAAAUUCGUAGAUAUUCGCAAGAACACCAGUGGCGAAGGCGGCUCACUGGCCCGGUACUGACGCUGAGGUGCGAAAGCGUGGGGAGCAAACAGG